rfam:Triticum aestivum genome assembly, contig: Triticum_aestivum_CS42_TGACv1_scaffold_093168_2AL
CUUUUACUCCCUCCGUUCCGAAUUACUUGUCGCAGAUAUGGAUGUAUCUAGAUGUAUUUUAGUUCUAGAUACACCCAUUUCUCCGACGAGUAAUUUGAAACGGAGGGAGUAGAAA